rnacentral:rRNA from 2 species
GCGUACCUUUUGUAUAAUGGGUCAGCGACUUAUAUUCUGUAGCAAGGUUAACCGUAUAGGGGAGCCGGAGGGAAACCGAGUCUUAAUUGGGCGUUAAGUUGCAGGGUAUAGACCCGAAACCCGGUGAUCUAGCCAUGGGCAGGUUGAAGGUUGGGUAACACUAACUGGAGGACCGAACCGACUAAUGUUGAAAAAUUAGCGGAUGACCUGUGGCUGGGGGUGAAAGGCCAAUCAAACCGGGAGAUAGCUGGUUCUCCCCGAAAGCUAUUUAGGUAGCGCCUCGUGAAUUCAUCUCCGGGGGUAGAGCACUGUUUCGGCUAGGGGGCCAUCCCGGCUUACCAACCCGAUGCAAACUGCGAAUACCGGAGAAUGUUAUCACGGGAGACACACGGCGGGUGCUAACGUCCGUCGUGAAGAGGGAAACAACCCAGACCGCCAGCUAAGGUCCCAAAGUCAUGGUUAAGUGGGAAACGAUGUGGGAAGGCCCAGACAGCCAGGAUGUUGGCUUAGAAGCAGCCAUCAUUUAAAGAAAGCGUAAUAGCUCACUGGUCGAGUCGGCCUGCGCGGAAGAUGUAACGGGGCUAAACCAUGCACCGAAGCUGCGGCAGCGAACGUAUCACCCAAGACAACUUUACGGAGUUGACGAUUGACGGAGCGAAGCGACGUCAAAGCGUUCAUUAAAGUCGAGUUGGCUUAGGGAUACGUUCGUUGGGUAGGGGAGCGUUCUGUAAGCCUGUGAAGGUGUGUCGUGAGGCAUGCUGGAGGUAUCAGAAGUGCGAAUGCUGACAUAAGUAACGAUAAAGCGGGUGAAAAGCCCGCUCGCCGGAAGACCAAGGGUUCCUGUCCAACGUUAAUCGGGGCAGGGUGAGUCGACCCCUAAGGCGAGGCCGAAAGGCGUAGUCGAUGGGAAACGGGUUAAUAUUCCCGUACUUGGUGUUACUGCGAAGGGGGGACGGAGAAGGCUAUGUUGGCCGGGCGACGGUUGUCCCGGUUUAAGCGUGUAGGUGUGUGUUCCAGGUAAAUCCGGUUCACUUUAACACUGAGGCGUGACGACGAGGCACUACGGUGCUGAAGCAACAAAUGCCCUGCUUCCAGGAAAAGCCUCUAAGCAUCAGGUAACACGAAAUCGUACCCCAAACCGACACAGGUGGUCAGGUAGAGAAUACCAAGGCGCUUGAGAGAACUCGGGUGAAGGAACUAGGCAAAAUGGUGCCGUAACUUCGGGAGAAGGCACGCUGACACGUAGGUGAAGUGAUUUACUCAUGGAGCUGAAGUCAGUCGAAGAUACCAGCUGGCUGCAACUGUUUAUUAAAAACACAGCACUGUGCAAACACGAAAGUGGACGUAUACGGUGUGACGCCUGCCCGGUGCCGGAA